GAUGAACGCUGGCGGCGUGCCUAAUACAUGCAAGUCGAGCGAACAGACGAGGAGCUUGCUCCUCUGACGUUAGCGGCGGACGGGUGAGUAACACGUGGAUAACCUACCUAUAAGACUGGGAUAACUUCGGGAAACCGGAGCUAAUACCGGAUAACAUGUUGAACCGCAUGGUUCAACAGUGAAAGACGGUCUUGCUGUCACUUAUAGAUGGAUCCGCGCCGCAUUAGCUAGUUGGUAAGGUAACGGCUUACCAAGGCAACGAUGCGUAGCCGACCUGAGAGGGUGAUCGGCCAUACUGGAACUGAGACACGGUCCAGACUCCUACGGGAGGCAGCAGUAGGGAAUCUUCCGCAAUGGGCGAAAGCCUGACGGAGCAACGCCGCGUGAGUGAAGAAGGUCUUCGGAUCGUAAAACUCUGUUAUUAGGGAAGAACAAAUGUGUAAGUGACUAUGCACGUCUUGACGGUACCUAAUCAGAAAGCCACGGCUAACUACGUG
rnacentral:rRNA from 1 species